rnacentral:rRNA from 1 species
GCGGUUAAGGACCGGUCUGCAGCCUAUCAGCUAGUUGGUGGGGUAAAGGCCUACCAAGGCUAUGACGGGUAGGGGGCCUGAGAGGGCGAUCCCCCAGAAUGGGACUGCGACACGGCCCAU